CAGUCGCCACGGUAAUACGUAGGUGGCAAGCGUUGUCCGGAAUUAUUGGGCGUAAAGGGCUCGCAGGCGGUUUCUUAAGUCUGAUGUGAAAGCCCCCGGCUCAACCGGGGAGGGUCAUUGGAAACUGGGAAACUUGAGUGCAGAAGAGGAGAGUGGAAUUCCACGUGUAGCGGUGAAAUGCGUAGAGAUGUGGAGGAACACCAGUGGCGAAGGCGACUCUCUGGUCUGUAACCGACGCUGAGGAGCGAAAGCGUAGGGAGCGAACAGGAUUAGAUACCCCCGUAGUCCCUGUCUCUUAUAC
rnacentral:rRNA from 1 species